AUACAGCUGACGAAUCUCAAAUAGGACUAAACGCUUGUCCUAAAU
rnacentral:hammerhead_ribozyme from 1 species